rnacentral:rRNA from 1 species
CCCCGGUAAACGGCGGCCGUAACUAUAACGGUCCUAAGGUAGCGAAAUUCCUUGUCGGGUAAGUUCCGACCUGCACGAAUGGCGUAAUGAUGGCCAGGCUGUCUCCACCCGAGACUCAGUGAAAUUGAACUCGCUGUGAAGAUGCAGUGUACCCGCGGCAAGACGGAAAGACCCCGUGAACCUUUACUAUAGCUUGACACUGAACAUUGAGCCUUGAUGUGUAGGAUAGGUGGGAGGCUUUGAAGUGUGGACGCCAGUCUGCAUGGAGCCGACCUUGAAAUACCACCCUUUAAUGUUUGAUGUUCUAACGUGGACCCGUAAUCCGGGUUGCGGACAGUGUCUGGUGGGUAGUUUGACUGGGGCGGUCUCCUCCUAAAGAGUAACGGAGGAGCACGAAGGUUGGCUAAUCCUGGUCGGACAUCAGGAGGUUAGUGCAAUGGCAUAAGCCAGCUUGACUGCGAGCGUGACGGCGCGAGCAGGUGCGAAAGCAGGUCAUAGUGAUCCGGUGGUUCUGAAUGGAAGGGCCAUCGCUCAACGGAUAAAAGGUACUCCGGGGAUAACAGGCUGAUACCGCCCAAGAGUUCAUAUCGACGGCGGUGUUUGGCACCUCGAUGUCGGCUCAUCACAUCCUGGGGCUGAAGUAGGUCCCAAGGGUAUGGCUGUUCGCCAUUUAAAGUGGUACGCGAGCUGGGUUUAGAACGUCGUGAGACAGUUCGGUCCCUAUCUGCCGUGGGCGCUGGAGAACUGAGGGGGGCUGCUCCUAGUACGAGAGGACCGGAGUGGACGCAUCACUGGUGUUCGGGUUGUCAUGCCAAUGGCACUGCCCGGUAGCUAAAUGCGGAAGAGAUAAGUGCUGAAAGCAUCUAAGCACGAAACUUGCCCCGAGAUGAGUUCUCCCUGAGACUUAGAGUCUCCUGAAGGAACGUUGAAGACGACGACGUUGAUAGGCCGGGUGUGUAAGCGCAGCGAUGCGUUGAGCUAACCGGUACUAAUGAACCGUGAGGCUUAACCUUACAACGCC